AUGAACAAGGACAGGUCCCGGAUCUCGGCGGACGGCGGCGGCGGCGACGGCCUGCCGCCGCAGCCGUCGCGCCGCUCGGCGACUCCCCCGCCGGAGUACGACAUCAGCCGCAUGCCGGACUUCCCCACCAGGAACCCUGGCCACCGGCGCGCGCACUCCGAGAUCCUCAGCCUCCCGGACGACCUCGACCUCUGCGCGCCCGGGGGCGGCGACGGGCCCUCGCUGUCGGACGAGAACGACGAGGAGCUAUUCUCCAUGUUCCUCGACGUGGACAAGCUCAACUCGUCGUGCGGGCCGUCGUCCGACCAGGCGGAGUCGUCGUCAGCCGCUGCUGCCGGCGGGGGCGAGGCGGCCAGGGCGGGCCACGUGAUGAGGCCGAAGCACCAGCACAGCCAGUCCAUGGACGAGUCGAUGUCGAUCAAGGCCGAGGACCUGGUGGGGGCGCCGGGGAUGGAGGGGAUGUCCACUGUGGAGGCCAAGAAGGCGGUGUCCGCCGCGAAGCUGGCCGAGCUUGCUCUUGUCGACCCCAAGAGGGCAAAAAGGAUUUGGGCUAAUAGACAAUCCGCAGCAAGAUCGAAGGAAAGGAAAAUGCGCUAUAUUGGUGAACUUGAGCGCAAGGUGCAAACCCUGCAGACAGAAGCAACAACAUUGUCAGCCCAGUUGUCAUUGCUACAGAGAGAUACCAGUGGGCUAACAAGUGAGAAUGGUGAAUUGAAGAUACGUCUGCAGAACAUGGAGCAGCAAGUCCACCUACAAGAUGCUCUAAAUGACACCCUGAAAACGGAGGUUCAGCGGCUGAAGGUGGCAACAGGCCAGACGGGCAACGGUGGGGGGAUGCUGAUGAACUAUGGCGGCAUGUCACAGGCGCCACACCAAUUCGGAAGCAACCAGCAGAUGUUCCACAACAACCAGUCCAUGCAGUCUCUGCUAGCGACACACCAGCUGCAACAGCUCCAGCUCCAUCCACAGCCCCAGCAGCAGCAGCAGCCGAUGCGCCCUCAGCACCACCACCACCACCACCAGCAGCCACUGCACCUGCUGCAGGCACAGCAGUUCCAGCAGGCAGCGCGCGACCUCAAGAUGAAAGGGCCGAUGUGGGGUGACGGGAAGUCGUCGGGAAGCGGCGGCAUCUGA
rnacentral:rRNA from 1 species